UACAGAGGUCCCAAGCGUUGUUCGGAUUCAUUGGGCGUAAAGGGUGUGUAGGUGGCGCCGUAAGUCGGGUGUGAAAUCUCGGGGCUUAACUCCGAAACUGCAUUCGAUACUGCGGUGCUUGAGGACUGGAGAGGAGACUGGAAUUCAUGGUGUAGCAGUGAAAUGCGUAGAGAUCAUGAGGAAGACCAGUGGCGAAGGCGGGUCUCUGGGCCUUACCUGACGCUCAGGUGCGAAAGCUAGGGGAGCGAACAGG
rnacentral:rRNA from 1 species